rnacentral:rRNA from 1 species
GAUGAACGCUGGCGGCGUGCCUAAUACAUGCAAGUCGAGCGAACAGACGAGGAGCUUACUCCUCUGACGUUAGCGGCGGACGGGUGAGUAACACGUGGAUAACCUACCUAUAAGACUGGGAUAACUUCGGGAAACCGGAGCUAAUACCGGAUAACAUGUUGAACCGCAUGGUUCAACAGUGAAAGACGGUCUUGCUGUCACUUAUAGAUGGAUCCGCGUCGCAUUGGCUAGUUGGUAAGGUAACGGCUUACCAAGGCAACGAUGCGUAGCCGACCUGAGAGGGUGAUCGGCCACACUGGAACUGAGACACGGUCCAGACUCCUACGGGAGGCAGCAGUAGGGAAUCUUCCGCAAUGGGCGAAAGCCUGACGGAGCAACGCCGCGUGAGUGAAGAAGGUCUUCGGAUCGUAAAACUCUGUUAUUAGGGAAGAACAAAUGUGUAAGUAACUAUGCACGUCUUGACGGUACCUAAUCAGAAAGCCACGGCUAACUACGUG